AGUCGAACGAUGACCCGGAGCUUGCUCCGGUGAUUAGUGGCGAACGGGUGAGUAACACGUGAGUAACCUGCCCCCCACUCUGGGAUAAGCACUGGAAACGGUGUCUAAUACCGGAUACGAGCUUCCGCCGCAUGGUGAGGAGCUGGAAAGAAUUUUGGUGGGGGAUGGACUCGCGGCCUAUCAGGUAGUUGGUGAGGUAAUGGCUCACCAAGCCGACGACGGGUAGCCGGCCUGAGAGGGUGACCGGCCACACUGGGACUGAGACACGGCCCAGACUCCUACGGGAGGCAGCAGUGGGGAAUAUUGCACAAUGGGCGAAAGCCUGAUGCAGCAACGCCGCGUGAGGGACGACGGCCUUCGGGUUGUAAACCUCUUUUAGUAGGGAAGAAGCGAAAGUGACGGUACCUGCAGAAAAAGCACCGGCUAACUACGUGCCAGCAGCCGCGGUAAUACGUAGGGUGCAAGCGUUGUCCGGAAUUAUUGGGCGUAAAGAGCUCGUAGGCGGUUUGUCGCGUCUGCUGUGAAAUCCGGAGGCUCAACCUCCGGCCUGCAGUGGGUACGGGCAGACUAGAGUGCGGUAGGGGAGAUUGGAAUUCCUGGUGUAGCGGUGGAAUGCGCAGAUAUCAGGAGGAACACCAAUGGCGAAGGCAGAUCUCUGGGCCGUAACUGACGCUGAGGAGCGAAAGCAUGGGGAGCGAACAGGAUUAGAUACCCUGGUAGUCCAUGCCGUAAACGUUGGGAACUAGGCGUAGGGUCCAUUCCACGGAUUCUGUGCCGCAGCUAACGCAUUAAGUUCCCCGCCUGGGGAGUACGGCCGCAAGGCUAAAACUCAAAGGAAUUGACGGGGGCCCGCACAAGCGGCGGAGCAUGCGGAUUAAUUCGAUGCAACGCGAAGAACCUUACCAAGGCUUGACAUAUACCGGAAAAGUUCAGAAAUGUUCUCCCCGCAAGGUCGGUAUACAGGUGGUGCAUGGUUGUCGUCAGCUCGUGUCGUGAGAUGUUGGGUUAAGUCCCGCAACGAGCGCAACCCUCGUUCUAUGUUGCCAGCACGUAAUGGUGGGAACUCAUA
rnacentral:rRNA from 1 species